rnacentral:rRNA from 1 species
GGGGUAACGGCCUNCCGUGNCAACGAUGAAUAGCAGGCCUGAGAGGGUGGCCUGCCACACUGGGNUUGGANCUCGGCCCAGACUCCUACGGGAGGCAGCAGUGGGGAAUAUUGCGCAAUGGACGAAAGUCUGACGCAGCGNCGCCGCGUGGAGGAUGAAGGUUUUNGGAUCGUAAACUCCUGUCNAUAAGGGAAGNANCCUAUUAUGAAUAAUACUCAUAGUAAUUGACGGUACCUCUAGAGGAAGCACCGGCUAAUUCAGUGCCAGCAGCCGCGGUAAUACUGAAGGUGCAAGCGUUAUUCGGAAUCUGCUGGGCGUAAAGCGCUCGUAGGUGGCUUUGUAAGUCAGGUGUGAAAGCCCACGGCUC